AGAAUCAACGCUGGCGGCGUGCCUAACACAUGCAAGUCGAACGAGAAAGUGGAGCAAUCCAUGAGUACAGUGGCGCACGGGUGAGUAACACGUGACUAACCUACCCUCGAGUGGGGGAUAACCUCGGGAAACCGGGGCUAAUACCGCAUAACAUCUACGGAUCAAAUGCGUAAGCAGCUUGAGGAGGGGGUCGCGGCUGAUUAGCUAGUUGGCGGGGUAAUGGCCCACCAAGGCAGUGAUCAGUA
rnacentral:rRNA from 1 species